rnacentral:lncRNA from 1 species
GGGGAUCGUGACGGGGUCUGCUUCCGUGUAGGGUGGGGUUUUUGGUAGGUUGACCGGAGGUAGUAGUUUAAAGAUUGCUUUGGAUGAGAUGCAUGACGUGCUUGUUCAUUGGCUAGAACUACAACUAGAAGAUGAUAGGCUCUUGCUAACCUUGGUGGUGUUAUAUCAUAUAUAUCUGUGGACGUGAUUUACACUUAUUCAUGUCAUUGA